GGGACUCACGAAAAGGGAUACCUCUGGUAAGAACAGGGUGCAGGCUCCAGCCGGGCCUGGACUCUGGCACAGCACCUCCCAGCCCGCCCUAAGCUCCCUUCUCUCUCCCCUCCCCAACCCUAUUAGCCUGUCGACUUCGAGAGCACAGGGACUUGGCUAAUCCAGCUAGACUUAGUCAGAGCAGGGCAGUGACAGGUGCUCAAUAUCUAUCCAUAAUUGAUUCAUUAACCACAAGACCUGGGGAGAAGUUCGAACACCCCACUCUGAGCUGGGAGGAGCUUCAGCCCUGCUGCCACAUCAGACGUCAGACGGAUGUGCUGGGCUGGCUGUUUUUGUUUGCUUUUGAUAGUGCUUCACAAGGAGACACAGCACAUGCCUGGGACACACGUCCUCCUGACAUCUCACAAGGCAGCAACAGCAGCUGCAACCGCAGAUGACAGCUUCAGAAUGGGAACAGCAGUGCUCUGAGCUCCAAGAACAGGACCCAGGCGCCAUAUGCUGAUAAAGUUGAUAAAUAUAACUAUCACGACCAUCCUGAGGAGCCCAAACAGAUCCCAGGAGGGCUAAGGAGGAAGCACAGCUCUGCAGUGCAGGGGGCCACAGCCAUCUCCAGGAAAUGCCAGCGCAAGACGAGGAGGAGUCUUCUGCAGGGGCCUGUGGGAUCCAAACCUGCCAUCUCCCGCCUGCUCCUGUGCCUUAAAGGGCUUGGCAGGGUUCAGCCAUCAGGGAACCCUGGCAUCUGGCCAGCGGUGGGAUCCUGACACACAGUCACACAUGUGCAGACACAUGACGGGUUCGCCCCAAGGUGCCAACAGGCACCCCACUGCCUCAGUAGGGCAGAGGUGCCCACAAUGCCAGGAGCAAUGUAAACAAAAACACCAACAUGACUCCCUGGACCCACACUGCCACUCCGUGUUCCCUCCGGUCAGGUUCCCUCCCUGCAGCCCAUCAGCCCCAACCCCUCCUGGCCUUUUCCAGAUUGACUCUAGUUUCAGGAAACAGCCACAUGUCUGAGUGAGCAGGAUAGCCCUGGCCCCAAAGCACUGGCACAGCGCCACUGCUGCCUGCCCCCGGCCCUUCCUGCAGCUCCCUUCCCCUGGCAGCCCUCCCCCAGAUCUGCUUGCAGCCGGAAGUGGCCGUGACAGCAGGCAGAGGCAGAGCCCCAUCCUUGGACCCUCCUGAGAGAGGUUCCCAAAGGCCUCCUGCUCAGCCUUCUUGGAGUUAAUGGAGUCAGGCUCCAAAACUCGGGAACUAGGACUCUGACUCUUCCAGUUUCUUUUUUCCCUAGUGUAACAGCUAAAAGGGCCACCAGUGGGGUCAGGAACCAGCUGCCAAAGAGGGCCACUCUGGAAACGCUGGCCUCUGCUGGGCUCCCCCCAUGUUCCCCUGCCACUUUCACUGGGAGCCUCCCCCCUGCUCCCCAGAGAGCUCCCCACGUGUGUGCAUCCAAGGAGAGAACUCUGGGGCGCAGUGAGGCCCUGCCAGGUUGUCACGGGCCCUGGCAAACGGAUGCAAAAGCAAGCAUGCCCAGCGCGUGGUCGGCCCACUGAUGUUCUGGUUACAGCAGGGACACCUGUCCACCUGGAAGAGGGCCUGGCCAUGCUCUGUGAAAUCAACCUCAAAGGAUUUUGGGAUGAGCUGGAAGCUCCCUUGAAAGACCCAUGAUGUACAGACCCAUGAAUUUCACAUAAAUCUCUUUACAAGCAAUUUCCAUUUCCCGUCUCUACCAUCCCACCUCUACAGGUGUGGGAAGAAGGCAACCCCCGCAGAAAAUGGCACCUUCUUCUGAAGCGUCUCCAGGUCACCCCCACCCCCAGGCUGCACUCAGCCUGCCCCACCGGAUGUGACUUAGGCUUCAGUGCCUCGAUCACGCCUCCAUCACACCCCAUCACACCCCCGACGCUCAGCCUCCGUCCCUCCGGAAGGGAGAGCCACAAUGUCUUCGGUCUGUGCUUGCCCCUUGCCCGGCAGCCUCCCCUGCCCCUUGACUAACCUAGCUGCCAUUCUCUGGCGCUUUCCCAGCUCUCUGAUGUCCUCCCUGAGGAGAGAGAGCCCGAUGCAGACUCUCGAGUGUGGACGAGGAAAGAACCAGUGUCCACAACUCUCCCCCAGGCAGGGUGUGUCGGGCCAGGGGUGCAAUGGGACAGGUGCAGGCACUCCCAGGGGCCUCAUAGGACACAGUGGCCAAGGCCAAUGGAGGACUUGGUGGAGGAGGUCCUGGAAUGUGUGGCUCUGAGGAAGGAGUGAGGGAGGGACACAAAGAGAGGGACUUUUUUUUUGGUGGCACUGGGGUUUGAACUGAGGGCUGCUGGAUUGAGCUAAUCUCCAGCCCUUUUUAAACUUUUUAU